rnacentral:pre_miRNA from 1 species
UUAACUCAAACUUGUAUGGAGUUGGAACGCUUGCCUACGUUUGCCGUUAGGGGCGCUGUUCCCACUCCAUACAAACUACGUUA